UACGAAGGGGGGCUAGCGUUGCUCGGAAUCACUGGGCGUAAAAGGGUGCGUAGGCGGGUCUUUUAAGUCAGGGGGUGAAAUCCUGGAGCUCAACUCCAGAACUGCCUUUGAUACUGAAGAUCUUGAGUUCGGGAGAGGUGAGUGGAACUGCGAGUGUAGAGGUGAAAUUCGUAGAUAUUCGCAAGAACACCAGUGGCGAAGGCGGCUCACUGGCCCGAUACUGACGCUGAGGCACGAAAGCGUGGGGAGCAAACAGGG
rnacentral:rRNA from 1 species